rnacentral:lncRNA from 1 species
GGCGAGAGCGGAGACGGGGAGCGAAAAAUCCGGGAUCCGGCAACUUUGGGCAGCGCAUGCGCGCCCGCGGCGCUCCAUCCCAAACACACACACAUUUUUCCCCCGGACUUGGAAAGUCACCCAAAGCCGCCCCAAGUGCAGGCUCACGGACCCUCCCGACUGAAGGCAGAGACCCUCUCGGUAUCCCCACCGGUCUCCCAGCUGCUACGGCCCCUGGCCCCUCCUUUCCAAGGGGAGCCCGCCCGACCCCAGUGCUGCACAUUGGAAUGGACUUCGAGCCCCAGCCCCUUGGGAUGCAAAGGUAGCUGCUCCUGACGCCCAAGAUACCACUGGGAAUUGUGGGUGGGAGCUACGGUUGGCCAGUUGGGGGGUCCUCCUCAGGGUAGGGGCUGUGUAGGCUCUAGACUCGCCCCUCUCAGUGGGAAGAAAGCGCUGUAGGUGACUGUGAAAACCAUGCAGGCCCAAGGAAAGCGCUCUGGCCCAGGGCCUCUGUUUUCUUCCUGGCUUUGCGGCUCACUCGCUGCUCACUCGGCUCUGGGUCUCAGCCUUCCCACCUGUGAAACAGAGUCUGGAAUCACCAGCCUUUAAGAAUCUUCCCAGCAUUGCCACUGUACAGUGUUGAAUGGUGCCGCAGCCAUGCACGCAUUUCAGGUGGGGCCCAAGCCCCAUCACACACCAC